GGGGAGUCUGGCUGGGCUCCUUUAUUUUAGUUUGGUAAACCAGCCACUCUACCUCCUCAUGGAAAAUUGGUACAGUGUGUCUUGAGGUAAGUCAAUGACAGACCAGCACUCUCCCCUUCCCGCAGACACACGUCCCCAGGAAUGCUGGGAGAAGUGAGACCUGGAGCAAGGCUCGGCGUCCCCUCCACGAGGACUUUGGGACAAUGUUGACAACGAGGUUCAGCUGAUCAGCUAGAUUGCAGGUGUCUAGCUCAGGGAAGGCGUGCCAACAUGGACCCUCUUACUAAUAUUGCAAGCAUCCCACAUGCAUCAGAACAGGCAUCAACCUCCCAUCACAGUCACUGUGGAGAAAACAAAAAGAUGGGGAAACAGAGGGGGAGGGAAGUCAGAUAGACCAGGUGCCUCACAGGCGGCAGGAGUGGGCCCUGUGUGUCCUGUCUCUUUUCAAAGUUACGAAAACCAUGUUAAGAAGACACUUCAUUUUUUUCAUUAGCUCUCUCUUUAUAUCGUAAUGAAAAUAACCCAUUGAAAAAAAAUCCUAAGCACAACACUCAUGUGAAAGUUGAAGAAAACCACUCGUAAAUCUUAGCACUGGCAGAUUAGCACUUGUUAAUCUUUUUAUGUGACUGCUACCAAUACCUUUUUCUCCAUAUAAUAUAGCUCAUGUCUACUAACUAAUAACUUAACCAUCUAAGAAUUCUGCAGCUCUACGGAAUACCAGAAAGAGAGGGGACGGCUGUGUUUGGCAUUUGUGGGGUUUUUUUUAUUUUAUUUUAUUUUGUCUCUUUACUUCCACACCUAAGGCAUAUGGAAUUUCCCAGCCAGGUACAGAAUCCAAACUAUAGAUGCAGUAUAUGCCACAGCUGGGGCAAGGCUGGAUCUUUAAUCCUCUGUGCUGGGCCAGGGAUCAAACUCUCAGGGACCAAGGCUACUGGGUCAGGUUCUUAACCCAUUGUGCCGCAGUGGGAACGCCUCUGCAUGUUCUUUGGUUCAUUCAUCCAAUGAAUAUUUUUUAAGUACCUCCCAUGUUCUUAGAAAUAUUCUACUAGCUGGGGAUGCUAAACGAAAGAUGUUGUCCUUGUCCUCAGGCAUAUUGGAGCGAGAAAAGAAAGUAAUUAUGGUUCAGUAAAUUAUAAUUCAGUGAGUAGGUGCCUCUUACUUAGCCAGAGACUGCAAUGUUCCAAAGACAUGAUAAAUGAACUCAGUAUUGAUGAGUAGGAGGCAGUUAAUAGGGAAAGAAGUGAGGGGAGAGGACGGGGAUGUGUGGUUGAGAGUAAACAUUGAGAGUGGUGCACGUUUGAGCAACAGCCAGGCGGUCAGGAGAGCCGGCGCCCAGGAGGUGACACACCCGGGAGAGGGUGGAUCAUGCUUAUGGGGUGUGCGACAGAAGGGUUCUGCCACGCCUGCGUUGGCAUUUAUUAAGCCCACCCUGAGAACAGGAUAAAGCACAGGCAGGCUUGGGGGGCAUAGAAGCUGUCGCAGUGACGGCCGACCUGAGCCAGAGCAGAGGGACGCAGCUACUGGGUCAGGUUCUGGGAGCAAGGAGGAGGUGAGAGGGGAUGGGGUGGAGAAGGGUCAGCCAGGGCUGUAGGGUCUGUGGAUGGGAUGGAAGGGACAAGUGCCAGCCUUCUGGGGCAAAGGGCUGAUGACCUGGGCACCAGCUCAGCAGAGACCCAGACAGUGAACUCAGGAAGGGGAGCUGGAACUUAGUCAAGGGAACUAAACUCUGCAGUGGGAAUCCGUAAAAGUUGGGAAUCGGCAGCUAUGCGGGUGUUUGAGGCACAAUCCAAGACAAACUGGACACCAGGCCCCUGGUGGCAAGACUACUCUCCCCUCUCCUGACCCCUCCUCUGGAUGGCCAUCUUCAGAGAGGUCACUGCGCAUGUGCUGUUCCCCCAGGUUGUUCCCAUCUUACCCAUGUCCAUCAAAGGAACUCUGGUUCUUCCGUGCGUGUGCACACGCAUGUGCAUAUGCGUGUGUGAAAGCUACUUUCUCCUUCCCAAAUGCUGCCAAUUCCUGCCUGGAUUUCAAUCAGAAAUGAUCUUUUUUCCAUUCUUUCUCAUUUUUUGUUUCACUUAGUUUCCGCACAAGAGUCUUACUACUUUUUUCCUGGAAAGGCUUGCUAUGAGGUCUGGAUAAUAGAGGGCUGGGGUGGGAGAGGACACGAGUUUAAAAGAAAGAUCAGAAGAAUGCAAUUAGAAAUUUCUAUCAGAAGCUACACACACACACACAUCUCAGUCUACAACCUCAUCUUUUAAAACUAUAUUUCUUCACACAUUAACAUUUUAGAUCAAACCUUUAAAAGGAUUUCUCGGUGAAUUUUAUUACCUGAUCAUUUCUCUCCUGGAUUUAAUUUCCCAGCAUGGCAACUGUACUGAGAUCUGGCUUCUUGCAAUGUGUAGUUUUGCAUCCAUGCAGGCACAGUGAAUUAAACAGAAUUUUAUAAGUUAGAUCUAGAACAUAAGCACUAUGUGGAAUGCAUGUUUUUUAGAAAGGGGAUCUUGGGCUCCCAAACAACAUACUUCAAUUGAGCGUGUAGAAGUUACCCACUCAUAAUCUGAAAUAUCCGGAAUAGACACAGGUAUUGACAUAUGUAAAUAUGUCUAGCUAGAACUCUAGAAGGAUGGUCUAACUGGGUCGUAGCUAAGAUAAUGUUCCACGGCAGUGUAAAUUAGCACAUUUGUGAAUUAUCCAUAUGUUGAACACCAGUUGCAAAGAUCUAAUCAUUAGUUGAAGAAAAACUUACUCUACAUCAGAAAAAAGAAAUUCUCUGUGAACACCAUUUGAUGUGUUUAGAUUCCUGGAAUGAAUGGCAAGAUUGAUCAAAGUCCAACAACUCGUGAAUUCCAAACACACUUUCAUUUGCUUAUGGCCACUUGUCAACAGUGGAGUGUGUGUGUGUGUAUAUAUAUGUGUGUAUGUAUAUGUAUGUGUGGUGUGUGUGUGUGUGUGUAUAGUCUUUUUAGGGCCACACUCACAGCAUGUGGAAGUUCCCAGGCUAAGGAUUGAUUCAGAACUACAGCUGCCAGCCUACACCACAGCCACAGCAACUCUGGACCCGAGCCACAUCUGCAACCUACACCACAGCUCACAGCAACACAGGAUCCUUAACCCACUGAGCAGUGGAGCCAGUUAUUUAAAACACAUCCUCACAGAUACUAGUUGGGUUUGUUACCUCUGAGCCAUGACGGGAACUCCAACAGUGGAGUACUUUAUGCUAAAUCAAACCUUACAAACAAAAAUUUAAAGGAAGUAUAAUUAAUUGAAUCACAGACUUGUUCUUUCCUAUCACAGAUUAAUCUUGAGGCAAUAAUAUUAGAAGUGGGGGAGUUCCUAUCGUUCAGUGGAAAUGAGUCUGACUAGUAUCCAUGGGGAUGCAGUUUCAAUCCCUAGCCUCUUUCAGUGGGUUAAAGAUCCAUCAUUGCCAUGAGCUGUGAUGUAGGUAACAGACAUAGCUUGGAUCUGGUGUUGCUGUGGCUGUGGUGUAGGCCAGCAGGUGCAGCUCCGAUUCGACCACUAGCCUGGGAACCUCCGUAGGCCAUGGGUGUGGUCCUGAAAAGACAAAUAAUAAUAAUAAUGAUAAUAAUAAUAACAAUAUUGCAAGUGGGGAUUUAGAAAAAUAUGUCCCCAAAAUAUAGCCUGUAAGAGAUUGAUGCCUUAAACGAUGUCAACGGUUAUUCUAUUGGGGGGAAAAAAGCCAUGGGUAGGAUUGGGUGAGCUGAUUUAAUCACAGUCAAACAGGCUUCUUUUCUCUAGAACAUCUCGGAGGUCCUCCUGUGCUGACAGGUAUGGAUUUCUAAGGAGGGACAUUGCUUCUCAAGCUGACUUGUCUCUCAGCAAUUGGCAGUGGAGCUUUGUACCUCGCACAGCAGGGAGCAGAGUCUUAGGGUGGGAAGGUCUUUCAAAGAGGGUGAAAGUCCUGGUGGAUUCAGACCACACUCUGGGCCUAAAAUGGGCCUGAGAAUGUCCAGGUGCCCAAGAGUUUUUCAUCACAGCUUUGUCACCAGUGCAAGUCUGAGAAUCCAUCACUAUAUUCAUGCCUUUCAAACACAUUUAAGGGGAAGAAGAAAAAACCAAGGUAAGUUCCCCGGAGCUGCCAUUUUUUUAAGAUGCAUGACAAUGCCCACUGAGGUGUAUGGAAUGAUUGGCCAGUGGGGACCGGCUUAUGACACAGGGAUGUCUACCCAAGAGUUUGUGAUCAUCUAUGUGGGAAAAGAAUCUGAAAGAGAAUGGAUGUGUGUAUAUGUAUAACCGAAUCACUUUGUUGUACAGCAGCAACAAUCACAACAUUGUAAAUUAGCUGUACUUCAAUAAAACUUUAAGAAAUGAAAAUAAAAAGCAUGAUGAUCUAGGGGGAGGUGGGCGGGAAUGUGGGGGAGGCCCAGGAAGGGUUCCCUACAGCAAGUCACCUGUGUCCAACCAAUCUACUUCCCACAAAUAGGCAGCAAACUUUAACAGCCUUGAAUUCAUGGACAUCUCGGAGGGACGGGUCAACUCAGCCACCGUGUUGAAACCCCCUGAGACACUCAGAAUCAACGGCCACGAGAAGUGGCCUCUGCCUCUGCAGGCUCAAUGCUUAUCACUCCACAACGGUUGUGCUUCACAUUUCGACUCAAUAUUUAAUUCAUCGAUGCCGAGCCUGAAAACUGAACGUACUGUCAGAGUUGGCAAGGGGACUCGAAAUUUAUGUUUUAAUUAGCUGGCCAUUUCAUCAAAAGGUAGACACGAUGUCUGUGGUUUAUAACUUUGAAAUAAACUCUAUGUGAGGGGGAAAAAAAUGCCGGGCACAUAUAGAGCUCAUUCAUGUCCAAGUUUAUGGUUUCUCUACCUGUGAAAAGGAAAGAGUUUGUGAAGGUAUAUUAUGGCGGAAAUUUACACAGCUUUCUUGUUCAUCAAAUUAAGCCAGUGCAUAUUUUCCUCAGCAGAAUAUGAAGCUAAGGUGUGGCUGCUUAAAUUAGGAGCAGGUAUUUUUCUUUGCAGGCGGAAUUUCUUCUGAAUUG
rnacentral:lncRNA from 1 species